rnacentral:misc_RNA from 1 species
AAAGUCGUAACAAGGUUUCCGUAGGUGAACCUGCGGAAGGAUCAUUAGAAUAUUGGGAAUUUAUUUUCCUAAUACUUUAUUCAAAAAAUUUUCAAUCUACAAAUUUUUUUUUUUUAAAAAGUGAAAAUAUAAAUUAAGAUAACUUUCAACAACGGAUCUCUAGGCUCUU